rnacentral:rRNA from 1 species
GCUUAACACAUGCAAGUCGAGCGAGAAAGGUCUUCGGACUGAGUACAGCGGCAAAACGGGGUGAGGUAACACGUGGGAAUCACCUUUUAGUGAAGAUACCCUCGAGAAGUCGAGGUUAAUACUGCAUACGUCUCGAAAGAGAGAAAGAUGGCCUCUUUGCUGUCGCUGAAAGAUGAGCCUGCGUACUAUUAGCUAGUUGGUAGGGUAAAGGCCUACCAAGGCUAUGAUGGUUAGCCGGGCCUGAGAGGGUGUACGGGCCACACUGGAACUUAGACACGGUCCAGACUCCUACGGGAGGCAGCAGUGAGGAAUAUUGCGCAAUGGGCGAAAGCCUGACGCAGCGACGCCGCGUGAGGAUGAAGGUCUUAGGAUUGUAAACUUCUGUUAAGCGGGAAGAAAGACGAAGUGUUAAUACCACUUUAUGAUGACGGUACCGCUAAAGAAAGCACCAGCUAACUUCGUG